UGGGAUGUAGCUCAAUGGUAGAGCGCUUGCCUAGCAUGUGUGAGGCACUGGGUUUGAUCCUCAGCACCACAU
rnacentral:tRNA from 1 species